rnacentral:rRNA from 1 species
CCGUGGGCGUUGGAGACUUGAGGGUAGCUGUUCUUAGUACGAGAGGACCGGAACGGACACACCUCUGGUGUUUCGGUUGUGACGCCAGUCGCAUUGCCGAGUAGCUAUGUGUGGAAAGGAUAACCGCUGAAAGCAUCUAAGCGGGAAGCCCCACCCAAGAUUAGGUCUCCCUGAUUAUUUAAUAAUCCUAAAGAUCCCUCGAAGACUACGAGGUUGAUAGGCUAGGUGUGGAAGUACAGCAAUGUAUGAAGCUAACUAGUACUAAUUGAUCGUGAGGCUUGACCAU